AACGAACGCUGGCGGCAGGCCUCAAACAUGCAAGUCUAGGGGGUGUAGCAAUACAUCACCGGCGGACGGGUGCGUAACGCGUGGGAAUAUACCUAUUGGUUCGGGAACAACUGAGGGAAACUUCAGCUAAUACCGGAUACGUCCUUACGGAGAAAGAUUUAUCGCCAAUAGAUUAGCCCGCGUUCGAUUAGCUAGUUGGUGGGUAACGGCCCACCAAGGCGACGAUCGAUAGCUGUUCUGAGAGGAAGAUCAGCCACACUGGGACUGAGACACGGCCCAGACUCCUACGGGAGGCAGCAGUUGGGAAUCUUGGACAAUGGGGGAAACCCUGAUCCAGCCAUGCCGCGUGAGUGAUGAAGGCCUUCGGGUUGUAAAACUCUUUCGCGUCACGACGAUAAUGACGGUAGUGCGAGAAGAAGCUCCGGCUAACUUCGUGCCAGCAGCCGCGGUAAU
rnacentral:rRNA from 1 species